UAAGGAAUAUUGGUCAAUGGACGCAAGUCUGAACCAGCCAUGCCGCGUGAAGGAUGAAGGUCCUCUGGAUUGUAAACUUCUUUUAUCUGGGACGAAAACGGGAUUUUUAUCUCAAUUGACGGUACCAGAGGAAUAAGCACCGGCUAACUCCGUGCCAGCAGCCGCGGUAAUACGGAGGGUGCGAGCGUUAUCCGGAUUUACUGGGGUUAAAGGGUGCGUAGGUGGGCUUAUAAGUCAGUGGUGAAAUCUCCGAGCUUAACUUGGAAACUGCCGUUGUUACUAUAGGUCUUGAAUUAUCUGGAGGUAAGCGGAAUAUGUCAUGUAGCGGUGAAAUGCUUAGAUAUGACAUAGAACACCAAUUGCGAAGGCAGCUUACUACAUAUAAAUUGACGCUGAGGCACGAAAGCGUGGGGAUCAAACA
rnacentral:rRNA from 1 species